GACGAACGCUGGCGGCGUGCUUAACACAUGCAAGUCGAACGGAAAGGCCCUGCUUUUGUGGGGCGCUCGAGUGGCGAACGGGUGAGUAACACGUGAGUAACCUGCCCUUGACUUUGGGAUAACUUCAGGAAACUGGGGCUAAUACCGGAUAGGAGCUCCUGCUGCAUGGUGGGGGUUGGAAAGUUUCGGCGGUUGGGGAUGGACUCGCGGCUUAUCAGCUUGUUGGUGGGGUAGUGGCUUACCAAGGCUUUGACGGGUAGCCGGCCUGAGAGGGUGACCGGCCACAUUGGGACUGAGAUACGGCCCAGACUCCUACGGGAGGCAGCAGUGGGGAAUAUUGCACAAUGGGCGGAAGCCUGAUGCAGCAACGCCGCGUGCGGGAUGACGGCCUUCGGGUUGUAAACCGCUUUCGCCUGUGACGAAGCGUGAGUGACGGUAAUGAGUAAAGAAGCACCGGCUAACUACGUG
rnacentral:rRNA from 1 species